rnacentral:rRNA from 1 species
GUCCCUAGUGGCGCACGGGUGAGUAACGCGUGGGAAUCUGUCCAAGUGUGGGGAAUAACUACGGGAAACUGUAGCUAAUACCGCAUACGCCCUACGGGGGAAAGGCUUCGGCCGUACUUGGAUGAGCCCGCGUCAGAUUAGCUAGUUGGUGGGGUAAAGGCCUACCAAGGCUACGAUCUGUAACUGGUCUGAGAGGACGAUCAGUCACACUGGAACUGAGACACGGUCCAGACUCC